rnacentral:tRNA from 1 species
GGCUGGGUAGCUCAGUUGGUAGAGCACUGGUGCGGUGUUCCAGAGGUCGCAGGUUCAAAUCCUGCUCCAAUCA